rnacentral:rRNA from 1 species
GCUCGUAGUUAGCGCGAGAAGGUCACACCCGUUCCCAUCCCGAACACGGUAGUUAAGCUUCUCUGCGCCAAUGGUAGUUGGGGGCUUCCCCCUGCGAGAGUAGGUCGCUGCCGGGC